AUUGAACGCUGGCGGCAUGCCUUACACAUGCAAGUCGAACGGCAGCACGGGAGCAAUCCUGGUGGCGAGUGGCGAACGGGUGAGUAAUAUAUCGGAACGUGCCCAGUCGUGGGGAUAACGUAGCGAAAGCUACGCUAAUACCGCAUACGAUCUAUGGAUGAAAGCGGGGGAUCGCAAGACCUCGCGCGAAUUGGAGCGGCCGAUAUCAGAUUAGGUAGUUGGUGAGGUAAAGGCUCACCAAGCCGACGAUCUGUAGCUGGUCUGAGAGGACGACCAGCCACACUGGGACUGAGACACGGCCCAGACUCCUACGGGAGGCAGCAGUGGGGAA
rnacentral:rRNA from 1 species